GAGAUUCUUUGUAAUUCCUUAUUAUUGAUGAUAGGGACUUCUCCACCUCUGCCCGUGAUUUCCCCAUAUUUGGGUUUCCAUGUAAAUCUUGUUUUCUUUGUGAUCUAUUAUUUUCAUAUUGUCCAUAUUUUCUCGUUCUUUAAUUAUUUGUCACAAUUAUAACAAGUGAUAUCAGAGCCAAGGUUUUGGUGAUUCUUCAGAGGGCUAAAUUGGUUAUUAAGGCGAAGUUUGAACAUGGUUGGUUGUUCCAGGGAUGGAAAGUACGAAUUUUGAGUUCCACUUUUGGAUCGUAACAAGAUUUUUUUUUUGUUUGGAUACUAGAGGAGAAGUAAUGUAAGGAUUGGUUAUAUAUUUUGGAAGGUUCAACGAUCAUUUUGGAUGCAGCUGCAACUUAUGAUUUGAUAAGCGGAGACUCAAGUGGAGUCGGUUGUGGUCAGUUUGUUCGUGGUGAUUCAAACAAUAAUAUUGGAGAAUCUUCUAGUGGCUCAAGUGGAGCUAGUUGUGAUCUUGUUGAUCACGUUGCUUAUGGUGAUUUCAGCAGGUUAGACAGCUCAGGUGGAGUUGGAAGUGCUCUUGGUGAUUCGAGUAACUUGGCUAGUGCUAGAGGUGAAUGUGAUUAUUCAAGCAAAGUUGACGCGCAAGGUAAUUCUGGUAGUAAGCAUGUCUUGAAAUCUGUUCAUAGUUGCUGAAUAUGCAGAGGGGCAUGGAGGAAGAGGUGGAGUGUUAUUGUUUGGAGAAUGGUUGGAG
rnacentral:lncRNA from 1 species